ACAGCAGUCGCCGCGGUAACACGAAGGGUGCAAGCGUUAAUCGGAAUUACUGGGCGUAAAGCGUGCGUAGGCGGUUUGUUAAGUCUGUUGUGAAAUCCCCGGGCUCAACCUGGGAAUGGCAAUGGAUACUGGCAGGCUAGAGUGUGUCAGAGGAUGGUGGAAUUCCCGGUGUAGCGGUGAAAUGCGUAGAGAUCGGGAGGAACAUCAGUGGCGAAGGCGGCCAUCUGGGACAACACUGACGCUGAGGCACGAAAGCGUGGGGAGCAAACAGGAUUAGAUACCCGCGUAGUCCCUGUCUCUUAUAC
rnacentral:rRNA from 1 species